rnacentral:rRNA from 1 species
GGGCCCGCACAAGCGGUGGAGCAUGUGGUUUAAUUCGAUGCAACGCGAAGAACCUUACCUGGUCUUGACAUCCUGCGAACUUUCUAGAAAUAGAUUGGUGCCUUCGGGAACGCAGUGACAGGUGCUGCAUGGCUGUCGUCAGCUCGUGUCGUGAGAUGUUGGGUUAAGUCCCGUAACGAGCGCAACCCCUAUCCUUAUUUGCCAGCACAUCAUGGUGGGAACUAUAAGGAGACUGCCGGUGAUAAACCGGAGGAAGGCGGGGACGACGUCAAGUCAUCAUGGCCCUUACGACCAGGGCUACACACGUGCUACAAUGGCAUCUACAGUGGGUUAAUCCCCCAAAAGAUGUCU